rnacentral:rRNA from 1 species
AUCCUACGGGAGGCAGCAGUGGGGAAUAUUGCACAAUGGGCGCAAGCCUGAUGCAGCCAUGCCGCGUGUAUGAAGAAGGCCUUCGGGUUGUAAAGUACUUUCAGCAGUGAGGAAGGUUCAUGCGUUAAUAGCGUAUGGAUUUGACGUUAGCUGCAGAAGAAGCACCGGCUAACUCCGUGCCAGCAGCCGCGGUAAUACGGAGGGUGCGAGCGUUAAUCGGAAUUACUGGGCGUAAAGCGCAUGCAGGUGGUUUGUUAAGUCAGAUGUGAAAGCCCCGGGGCUCAACCUCGGAAUUGCAUUUGAAACUGGCAGACUAGAGUACUGUAGAGGGGGUAGAAUUUCAGGUGUAGCGGUGAAAUGCGUAGAGAUCUGAAGGAAUACCGGUGGCGAAGGCGGCCCCCUGGACAGAUACUGACACUCAGAUGCGAAAGCGUGGGGAGCAAACAGGAUUAGAUACCCUGGUAG